GCGACUUAUUGUCAGUGGCAAGGUUAACCGUAUAGGGGAGCCGUAGAGAAAUCGAGUCUUAAUAGGGCGUUUAGUUGCUGGGUGUAGACCCGAAACCGGGUGAUCUAUCCAUGGGCAGGUUGAAGGUUGGGUAACACUAACUGGAGGACCGAACCCACUGUCUUUGAAAAGCCAGGGGAUGACUUGUGGAUAGGGGUGAAAGGCUAAUCAAACUCGGUGAUAGCUGGUUCUCCCCGAAAGCUAUUUAGGUAGCGCCUCGGACGAAUACCAUUGGUGGUAGAG
rnacentral:rRNA from 1 species